ACCGGAUACGAGCUGGAAGGCAUCUUCAGCAGCUGGAAAGAAUUUCGGUCAGGGAUGAGCUCGCGGCCUAUCAGCUUGUUGGUGAGGUAACGGCUCACCAAGGCGUCCACGGGUAGCCGGCCUGAGAGGGUGACCGGCCACACUGGGACUGAGACACGGCCCAGACUCCUACGGGAGGCAGCAGUGGGGAAUAUUGCACAAUGGGCGAAAGCCUGAUGCAGCCACGCCGCGUGAGGGACGACGGCCUUCGGGUUGUAAACCUCUUUUAGCAGGGAAGAAGCGAAAGUGACGGUACCUGCAAAAAAAGCGCCGGCUAACUACGUGCCAG
rnacentral:rRNA from 1 species